rnacentral:rRNA from 1 species
AUGGAUUCCAUCUUGGCGAAUGAAACUUGGGAGAUAACUGAUCGUCCUUAUGGGUGCAAACCUAUAGGAUGCAAAUGGGUAUUCAAGAAGAAGCUUAGGCCUGAUGGUACUAUUGAAAAGUACAAGGCUCGGCUCGUGGCUAAGGGUUAUACCCAAAAGGAAGGUGAAGACUUCUUUGAUACUUACUCACCUGUGGCUCGACUGACCACUAUUCGAGUUCUACUUUCACUAGCUGCCUCACAUGGUCUUCUCGUUCAUCAAAUGGAUGUUAAGACUGCUUUCCUAAAUGGAGAGUUGGACGAGGAAAUUUAUAUGGAACAACCAGAUGGGUUUGUAAUAGAUGGUCAGGAAGGGAAAGUGUGCAAGUUGCUGAAGUCUUUGUAUGGACUCAAGCAAGCACCCAAACAGUGGCAUGAGAAGUUCGAAAGAACUUUAACAGCUGCAGGUUUUGUUGUGAACGAAGCUGACAAAUGUGUGUACUAUCGCCAUGGUGGGGGCGAGGGAGUUAUGCUUUGCUUGUAUGUUGAUGACAUACUGAUUUUUGGAACAAAUCUGAAUGUUAUUAAGGAGGUCAAGGAUUUUCUAUCUCGCUGUUUUGAGAUGAAGGAUUUAGGAGUGGCUGAUGUCAUUCUGAACAUCAAGUUGUUGAGAGUUGAUGAUGGUGGGAUUACAUUGCUUCAAUCUCACUAUGUGGAAAAGAUCUUGAGUCGCUUUGGCUAUAGUGACUGCAAGCCCUCUCCAACACCAUAUGAUGCUAGCGUGCUACUUCGAAAGAAUCGAAGAAUUGCUAGAGAUCAAUUGAAGUAUUCUCAGAUUAUUGGCUCGCUUAUGUACUUAGCGAGUGCUACAAGACCUGACAUCUCUUUUGCAGUUAGCAAACUGAGUCGGUUUGUUUCAAAACCAGGAGAUGUGCAUUGGAAAGCUCUAGAGAGAGUUCUGCGUUAUUUGAAAGGCACUGCAAAUUAUGGAAUUCACUACACUGGGCAUCCAAAGGUGCUUGAAGGGUAUAGUGACUCAAACUGGAUCUUAGAUGCUGAUGAGAUAAAGGCCACGAGCGGUUAUGUAUUCACUCAUGGAGGUGGCGCUGUUUCUUGGAAACACGUUCAGAGAAGGUUAAAGUCUGUCAGGAAAAUGAAAAACUCCGGAGUUAUUGCAUUGGAUUAUAUCCAAACGUCUAAAAAUCUGGCAGAUCCUUUUACUAAGGGUCUAUCACGUAAUGUGAUAGAUAAUGCAUCGAGGGAGAUGGGUAUGAGACCCACAAUAUGA